rnacentral:rRNA from 1 species
GACGAACGCUGGCGGCGUGCUUAACACAUGCAAGUCGAACGGAAAGGCCCUGCGUGGGUGGGGUGCGCGAGUGGCGAACGGGUGAGUAACACGUGAGUAACCUGCCCUUGACUUUGGGAUAACUUCAUGAAACUGGGGCUAAUACCGGAUAGGAGCUCCUGCUGCAGGGGGGGGGUGGGAUAGUGGCGGCGGUUGGGGAUGGGCCCGCGGCUUAGCAGGUUGUUGGUGGGGUAGUGGCUUACCAAGGCGUCGACGGGGAGCCGGCCUGAGAGGGUGACCGGCCACACUGGGACUGAGAUACGGCCCAGACUCCUACGGGAGGCAGCAGUGGGGAAUAGUGCACAAUGGGCGCAAGCCUGAUGCAGCGACGCCGCGUGAGGGAUGACGGCCUUCGGGUUGUAAACCUCUUUCAAUAGGGACGAAGCGCAAGGGACGGUACCUAUAGAAGAAGCACCGGCCAACUACGUG